CCCAGUGUUCUGAAGGACUGUUUGACAGUUUCAGUAUCGACACUCUUUAUACAUAUUGGACCAAAGUGGAUCUGGAGACUUGUCAAAGCGGAGACACUGACCUGCCUGCCUCAAUAAAGUUCAUUUUAUGUCCUGUGUGGUGGUGAUCAAGUUCAAGUCUACAGUGGGAUUGCUGAGGAAGCCACGUCUUUGUGAGCGUGUUUAAGGAAAUUGACCAUGGUGCAAGUGCCUGAAGAGCUGACUCCUGAGAAUGGCAGCACAUCCUUUUCAUCUAGGAGGGCUGCGCUCCUCAAACACACACAGCUGAGCAGAGGACGUGAAGGAUUACUCCAGAGUGCAACAAUCAACCAGUAAUGGAGACUAUGAGCAGUAUGUCAAACAGCUGUUGAACAAGCAAAGCAUAAACUUGCACAUAUGUGAUGUCUUCACUGCUUUGCCCGUGGUCCACUCACUGAAGUUACUGUUUUACCCC